UUCCUAGACCAGUUAACCCACUGUUCCUAGGCCAGUUAACCCACUGUUCCUAGACCAGUUAACCCACUGUUCCUAGGCCAGUUAACCCACUGUUCCUAGGCCAGUUAACCCACUGUUCCUAGGCCAGUUAACCCACUGUUCCUAGGCCAGUUAACCCACUGUUCCUAGGCCAGUUAACCCACUGUUCCUAGACCAUUAACCCACUGUUCCUAGGCCAGUUAACCCACUGUUCCUAGACCAUUAACCCACUGUUCCUAGGCCAGUUAACCCACUGUUCCUAGGCCAGUUAACCCACUGUUCCUAGGCCAUUAACCCACUGUUCCUAGGCCAGUUAACCCACUGUUCCUAGGCCAGUUAACCCACUGUUCCUAGGCCAGUUAACCCACUGUUCCUAGGCCAGUUAACCCACUGUUCCUAGGCCAGUUAACCCACUGUUCCUAGGCCAG